AGUGAACGCUGGCGGUAGGCCUAACACAUGCAAGUCGAACGGCAGCACAGUAAGAGCUUGCUCUUACGGGUGGCGAGUGGCGGACGGGUGACGAAUACAUCGGAAUCUACUUUUUAGUGGGGGAUAACGUAGGGAAACUUACGCUAAUACCGCAUACGACCUACGGGUGGAAGCAGGGGAUCUUCGGACCUGGCGCGAAUGCAUGAGCCGAUGUCGGAUUAGCUAGUUGGCGGGGUAAAGGCCCACCAAGGCGACGAUCCGUAGCUGGUCUGAGAGGAUGAUCAGCCACACUGGAACUGAGACACGCUCCAGACUCCUACGGGAGGCAGCAGUGGGGAAUAUUGGACAAUGGGCGCAAGCCUAAUCCAGCCAUACCGCGUGGGUGAAGAAGGCCUUCGGGUUGUAAAGCCCUUUUGUUGGGAAAGAAAAGCAGCAGGUUAAUACCCCGCUGUUCUGACGGUACCCAAAGAAUAAGCACCGGCUAACUUCGUG
rnacentral:rRNA from 1 species